rnacentral:rRNA from 1 species
CAGCAGCCGCGGUAAGACAGAGGAUGCAAGCGUUAUCCGGAUUUAUUGGGCGUAAAGCGCGUCUAGGUGGUUAUGUAAGUCCGAUGUGAAAAUGCAGGGCUCAACUCUGUAUUGCGUUGGAAACUGUGUAACUAGAGUACUGGAGAGGUAAGCGGAACUACAAGUGUAGAGGUGAAAUUCGUAGAUAUUUGUAGGAAUGCCGAUGGGGAAGCCAGCUUACUGGACAGAUACUGACGCUGAAGCGCGAAAGCGUGGGUAGCAAACAGGAUUAGAUACCCGCGUAGUCCCUGUCUCUUAUACA